rnacentral:rRNA from 1 species
AACGAACGCUGGCGGCAUGCCUAACACAUGCAAGUCGAACGAGACCUUCGGGUCUAGUGGCGCACGGGUGCGUAACGCGUGGGAACCUGCCCUUAGGUUCGGAAUAACUCCCCGAAAGGGGUGCUAAUAUCGGAUAAUGUCUUCGGACCAAAGACUUAUCGCCUUUGGAUGGGCCCGCGUUGGAUUAGCUAGUUGGUAGGGUAAAAGCCUACCAAGGCGACGAUCCAUAGCUGGUCUGAGAGGAUGAUCAGCCACACUGGGACUGAGACACGGCCCAGACUCCUACGGGAGGCAGCAGUGGGGAAUAUUGGACAAUGGGCGAAAGCCUGAUCCAGCAAUGCCGCGUGAGUGAUGAAGGCCUUAGGGUUGUAAAGCUCUUUUACCCGGGAUGAUAAUGACAGUACCGGGAGAAUAAGCUCCGGCUAACUCCGUG